UACGAGGGGGGCGAGCGUUGUUCGGAAUUAUUGGGCGUAAAGGGCGCGUAGGCGGUGCGGUAAGUCACCUGUGAAACCUCUGGGCUCAACUCAGAGCCUGCAGGCGAAACUGCCGUGCUGGAGUGUGGGAGAGGUGCGUGGAAUUCCCGGUGUAGCGGUGAAAUGCGUAGAUAUUGGGAGGAACACCAGUGGCGAAGGCGGCUCACUGGACCGGUACUGACGCUGAUGCGCGAAAGCGUGGGGAGCAAACGGG
rnacentral:rRNA from 1 species